CUUAAAUUUGCAUAAAGUAAGGGUAUUUUUUUAUUAAAAGUUCAACUUGAAUGUUAUCCGUAUUUUAUUGAACUCGGAAUAUAUAUAUAUAUAUAUAUAUAUAUAUAAAAUUUAAACGGGGUAAGAAAACCGGUACGGGGCGCGGUAUGGGGUGGGCGCCCCUCCCCGAACCCGCGCCGUUGCCAUCACUAUUGGCAGGCAAUGCUUUUGAUAGAAUCCUUGCUUUAAUUCCCUUUAAAUUUGAAAAAAAUAAUUGCUUGUCGAAAAUUAAUAUUUUUAGUCAUUAAUCUUCAUCUAAGAUUUUUUUGACCAAAAAAUAAAAAAAUAAGAAGUUCCUUUACUUAAUGAAAUAAGUUUAUGGUUGGUUACUAAAACUUAGCAUUUAACUCCAAAUGCAGUGGUAUCCUCACCAGAUAAGAACGUUCUUAUUAUAAAGAAAUGUUUUGUUUUUUUUUGUGAAUUUGUUCGUGAGUUAUUCAAUAAUUCUAACAAUUUUCUGGUCCAUUUUCUUACUUUUGUAUACUUCUAAAAGGCCAUUUCUUCAUAUGAGAAAAAAAAAAUCAAAAUUUUUUAUUAACAAAGCAAUAUGGUCAAGCAUACAUGGUGGAUAAUAUGUUGAAUUAUCAUCCUUGUAAAGUUGCAAAGAUGGGCGCUACAUUAAAGUAUACCAUGGUAUGUUAAUUUCUCCUUUAUGUUUCCUUUUUAUUGUUUGAUUUUAAUUGGUUGUUUCUACAGGACAAGGCAAGUACUGAUAUAUUAAAAUUUCUAAGGUUUAUUCUUUACAAUCAUAAUUUGAUUUUCUUCAUUCAUUAGAUUGAUGAAAUCUUUUGUUAGAUAUCAAGAGUUAAAGAGGGUGGUACCAGGUUAAAUGCUUAAUUUUAUUUUAUUUAUUUAUUUAUUUAUUUAUUUAUUUAUUUAUUUAUUUAUUUAUUUAUUUUCCUGUUCUGGUGGCAGGAAGAGGGAUAACUUGGCUAAAAGUGAAACAAUUGCCAUCAGGAUAAUCAAAUGUUGCAAGUAUGCAUCUUUUUGUAGUAAAAGCUUAUGUAUUCAUCAGGAGUGGUUCGUUGGCCAUUGUUGCAUCCACACUAGACUCGCUUCUUGAUCUACUCUCUAGUUUUCAACAUUAACCAACUGACGUUCAACACACGUUCACACUGCUAAUAAUAAACAUAAAGUAGGCAAAAAAAGGAAGCUAAGAGAAUAUCAUUAUCACAAGAUGAAUCAACGGGGAUCAAAAACAAUUGUAAAGAAUUUUGAUCACUGGGGAUCUAAUGACAAUAUUUGUAAAACUACUUAUUAAGUGCUUCUUUCUAGCAGCACCCAAAAAAUCAAAGCACUUACCAUAUUCAAAUUGAGACGCGUUGUGGAAAG
rnacentral:lncRNA from 1 species